GACGAACGCUGGCGGCGUGCCUAAUACAUGCAAGUCGAGCGGACGAUUCGAAAGCUUGCUUUUGAAUCGUUAGCGGCGGACGGGUGAGUAACACGUGGGCAACCUGCCCUGUAGACGGGGAUAACACCGAGAAAUCGGUUCUAAUACCGGAUAACACGAAAUGUCGCAUGACGUUUCGUUGAAAGGCGGCGCAAGCUGCCGCUACAGGAUGGGCCCGCGGCGCAUUAGCUAGUUGGUGAGGUAACGGCUCACCAAGGCGACGAUGCGUAGCCGACCUGAGAGGGUGAUCGGCCACACUGGGACUGAGACACGGCCCAGACUCCUACGGGAGGCAGCAGUAGGGAAUCUUCCGCAAUGGACGAAAGUCUGACGGAGCAACGCCGCGUGAGCGAAGAAGGCCUUCGGGUCGUAAAGCUCUGUUGUUAGGGAAGAACAAGUAACGUAGUAACUGACGUUACUAUGACGGUACCUAACGAGAAAGCCACGGCUAACUACGUG
rnacentral:rRNA from 1 species